CCUACGGGUGGCAGCAGUGAGGAAUAUUGGUCAAUGGACGAGAGUCUGAACCAGCCAAGUAGCGUGAAGGAUGACUGCCCUAUGGGUUGUAAACUUCUUUUAUAUGGGAAUAAAAUGUUCCCCGUGUGGGAUUUUGUAUGUACCAUAUGAUUAAGGAUCGGCUAACUCCGUGCCAGCAGCCGCGGUAAUACGGAGGAUCCGAGCGUUAUCCGGAUUUAUUGGGUUUAAAGGGAGCGUAGGUGGAGUGUUAAGUCAGUUGUGAAAGUUUGCGGCUCAACCGUAAAAUUGCAGUUGAAACUGGCAGUCUUGAGUACAGUAGAGGUGGGCGGAAUUCGUGGUGUAGCGGUGAAAUGCUUAGAUAUCACGAAGAACUCCGAUUGCGAAGGCAGUUCACUGGACUGCAACUGACACUGAGGCUCGAAAGUGUGGGUAUCAAACAGGAUUAGAUACCCUUGUAGUC
rnacentral:rRNA from 1 species